UACGAAGGGGGCUAGCGUUGCUCGGAAUCACUGGGCGUAAAGGGUGCGUAGGCGGGUUUUUAAGUCAGGGGUGAAAUCCUGGAGCUCAACUCCAGAACUGCCCUUGAUACUGAAGAUCUUGAGUCCGGGAGAGGUGAGUGGAACUGCGAGUGUAGAGGUGAAAUUCGUAGAUAUUCGCAAGAACACCAGUGGCGAAGGCGGCUCACUGGCCCGGUACUGACGCUGAGGCACGAAAGCGUGGGGAGCAAACAGG
rnacentral:rRNA from 1 species